AACGAACGCUGGCGGCGCGCCUAAUACAUGCAAGUCGAGCGAGAAGGUGUAGCAAUACACUUGUAAAGCGGCGAACGGGUGAGGAAUACAUGGGUAAUCUACCAUCGAGUGGGGAAUAACCAACCGAAAGGUUGGCUAAUACCGCGUACGCCUCCGAGUCUUCGGGUUCGGAGGGAAAGCUGCACUGUGAGUGUAGCGCUCUUUGAUGAGCUCAUGUCCUAUCAGCUUGUUGGUAGGGUAACGGCCUACCAAGGCUUUGACGGGUAGCUGGUCUGAGAGGACGAUCAGCCACACUGGCACUGCGACACGGGCCAGACUCCUACGGGAGGCAGCAGUAAGGAAUAUUGCGCAAUGGGCGAAAGCCUGACGCAGCGACGCCGCGUGGGGGAUGAAGGUCUUCGGAUUGUAAACCCCUUUCGGAGGGAAGAUGGAGCGAGCAAUCGUUCGGACGGUACCUCCAGAAGCAGCCGCGGCCAACUUCGUGCCAGCA
rnacentral:rRNA from 1 species